AUGACGCUGGCGGCGUGCCUAACACAGCAAGUCGAACGGGACUGAUUGAAAGUAUCUUUUCGGAGUGAUUUCUAUUUAGUUUAGUGGCGGACGGGUGAGUAACGCGUGGACUAACUCGCCUUUCACAGGGGGAUAGCAGCUGGAAACGGCUGGUAAUACCGCAUACGCUCAUGUCACCGCAUGGUGAGAUGAGGAAAGAUUUAUCGGUGAAAGAUGGAUCCGCGUCUGAUUAGCCAGUUGGCGGGGUAACGGCCCACCAAAGCAACGAUCAGUAGCCGGCCUGAGAGGGCGGACGGCCACAUUGGGACUGAGACACGGCCCAGACUCCUACGGGAGGCAGCAGUGGGGGAUAUUGCACAAUGGGCGCAAGCCUGAUGCAGCGACGCCGCGUGAGUGAAGAAGUAUUUCGGUAUGUAAAGCUCUAUCAGCAGGGGAAGAAAGGCCCUUUUAGGGAGAUGACGGUACCUGACUAAGAAGCCCCGGCUAACUACGUG
rnacentral:rRNA from 1 species